rnacentral:rRNA from 1 species
AGUGAACGCUGGCGGUAGGCCUAACACAUGCAAGUCGAACGGCAGCACAGUAAGAGCUUGCUCUUACGGGCGGCGAGUGGCGGACGGGUGAGGAAUACAUCGGAAUCUACUUUUUCGUGGGGGAUAACGUAGGGAAACUUACGCUAAUACCGCAUACGACCUACGGGUGAAAGCAGGGGAUCUUCGGACCUUGCGCGAUUGAAUGAGCCGAUGUCGGAUUAGCUAGUUGGCGGGGUAAAGGCCCACCAAGGCGACGAUCCGUAGCUGGUCUGAGAGGAUGAAGAGCGACAGUGGGAGUGAGACGCGGUCCAGGCUCCUACGGGCGGCAGCAGUGGGGAAGAGUGGAAAAUGGGGGCAAGCCUGAUCCAGCCGUAGCGGGUGGGUGAAGAAGGCCUGCGGGUGGGAAAGCCCUUUUGUUGGGGAAGAAAAGCAGCAGGUUAAUACCCCGCUGUUCUGACGGUACCCAAAGAAUAAGCACCGGCUAACUUCGUG